rnacentral:rRNA from 1 species
UACGUAGGGGGCAAGCGUUGUCCGGAUUUAUUGGGCGUAAAGAGCGUGUAGGCGGCUUGACAAGUCUGCUGUGAAAACUCGAGGCUCAACCUCGAGCUGUCGGUGGAAACUGUCUGGCUAGAGUCCGGAAGAGGAGAGUGGAAUUCCCGGUGUAGCGGUGGAAUGCGUAGAGAUCGGGAAGAACAUCAGUGGCGAAGGCGGCCUGGCUGGGCUGUUGCUGACGCUGAGG